rnacentral:rRNA from 1 species
AGAGUUUGAUCAUGGCUCAGGGCGAACGCUGGCGGCGUGCCUAAUACAUGCAAGUCGAGCGAGCUUGCCUAGAUGAUUUUGGUGCUUGCACUAAAUGAAACUAGAUACAAGCGAGCGGCGGACGGGUGAGUAACACGUGGGUAACCUGCCCAAGAGACUGGGAUAACACCUGGAAACAGAUGCUAAUACCGGAUAACAACACUAGACGCAUGUCUAGAGUUUGAAAGAUGGUUCUGCUAUCACUCUUGGAUGGACCUGCGGUGCAUUAGCUAGUUGGUAAGGUAACGGCUUACCAAGGCAAUGAUGCAUAGCCGAGUUGAGAGACUGAUCGGCCACAUUGGGACUGAGACACGGCCCAAACUCCUACGGGAGGCAGCAGUAGGGAAUCUUCCACAAUGGACGAAAGUCUGAUGGAGCAACGCCGCGUGAGUGAAGAAGGGUUUCGGCUCGUAAAGCUCUGUUGGUAGUGAAGAAAGAUAGAGGUAGUAACUGGCCUUUAUUUGACGGUAAUUACUUAGAAAGUCACGGCUAACUACGUGCCAGCAGCCGCGGUAAUACGUAGGUGGCAAGCGUUGUCCGGAUUUAUUGGGCGUAAAGCGAGUGCAGGCGGUUCAAUAAGUCUGAUGUGAAAGCCUUCGGCUCAACCGGAGAAUUGCAUCAGAAACUGUUGAACUUGAGUGCAGAAGAGGAGAGUGGAACUCCAUGUGUAGCGGUGGAAUGCGUAGAUAUAUGGAAGAACACCAGUGGCGAAGGCGGCUCUCUGGUCUGCAACUGACGCUGAGGCUUGAAAGCAUGGGUAGCGAACAGGAUUAGAUACCCUGGUAGUCCAUGCCGUAAACGAUGAGUGCUAAGUGUUGGGAGGUUUCCGCCUCUCAGUGCUGCAGCUAACGCAUUAAGCACUCCG